rnacentral:rRNA from 1 species
AGGGCACCACCAGGAGUGGAGCCUGCGGCUUAAUUUGACUCAACACGGGAAACCUCACCCGGCCCGGACACGGACAGGAUUGACAGAUCGAUAGCUCUUUCUCGAUUCCGUGGGUGGUGGUGCGUGGCCGUUCUUAGUUGGUGGAGCGAUUUGUCUGGUUAAUUCCGAUAACGAACGAGACUCUGGCAUGCUAACUAGUUACGCGACCCCCCGAGCGGUCGGCGUCCCCCAACUUCUUAGAGGGACAAGUGGCGUUCAGCCACCCGAGAUUGAGCAAUAACAGGUCUGUGAUGCCCUUAGAUGUCCGGGGCUGCACGCGCGCUACACUGACUGGCUCAGCGUGUGCCUACCCUACGCCGGCAGGCGCGGGUAACCCGUUGAACCCCAUUCGUGAUGGGGAUCGGGGAUUGCAAUUAUUCCCCAUGAACGAGGAAUUCCCAGUAAGUGCGGGUCAUAAGCUUGCGUUGAUUAAGUCCCUGCCCUUUGUACACACCGCCCGUCGCUACUACCGAUUGGAUG